GUUAUAGGGUCAAGCGAACAAGUGCAUGUGGUGGAUGCCUUGGCGAUCACAGGCGAUGAAGGACGCGGUAGCCUGCGAAAAGCCCCGGGGAGCUGGCAAACAAGCUUUGAUCCGGGGAUGUCCGAAUGGGGAAACCCACUCCGUAUGGAGUAUCCAUGGCUGAAUACAUAGGCCAUGUGAAGCGAACGCGGUGAACUGAAACAUCUAAGUAACCGCAGGAAAAGAAAUCAACCGAGAUUCCCAAAGUAGUGGCGAGCGAAAUGGGAUGAGCCUUGCACUCUUUAUUUGUAUUGUUAGCCGAACGC
rnacentral:rRNA from 1 species